UGCAGUAGCUUUGCUGCUACUUAAACUACAUUUAAACCUGCGUAGUGUUGUGUAUAUAUUCUAUACAUAUUGGGUAGUAUUGUAGUGUUGUGUAUAUAUUCUAUACAUAUUGGGUAGUAUUGGGUAGUAUUGUAGUGUUGUGUAUAUAUUCUAUACAUAUUGGGUAGUAUUGGGUAGUAUUGUUGAUAUUAAGUUUAGACGUUGCGAGGUGUUAAGAACAGGCUGUUAUUUUUAUACUACUUCAACCAGUGUUGGAGUACUAAACU
rnacentral:lncRNA from 13 species